GCAGGAAGGAAGCAUGGUAGUGUGUACGGAGAUGAAAGAGGUCUACAUGUCUGCUUGCUCUGAUGCCUUCGGGCUUUGAUCUUGCAGGCCUGGAUUUGACCUACACAC
rnacentral:snoRNA from 1 species